GACGAACGCUGGCGGCGUGCCUAAUACAUGCAAGUCGAACGAGAGCGACCGGUGCUUGCACUGGUCAAUCUAGUGGCGAACGGGUGAGUAACACGUGGGUAACCUGCCCAUCAGAGGGGGAUAACAUUCGGAAACGGAUGCUAAAACCGCAUAGGUCUUCGAACCGCAUGGUUUGAAGAGGAAAAGAGGCGCAAGCUUCUGCUGAUGGAUGGACCCGCGGUGCAUUAGCUAGUUGGUGAGGUAACGGCUCACCAAGGCCGUGAUGCAUAGCCGACCUGAGAGAGUGAUCGGCCACAUUGGGACUGAGACACGGACCAAACUCCUACGGGAGGCAGCAGUAGGGAAUCUUACGCAAUGGACGCAAGUCUGACGGAGCAACGCCGCGUGAGUGAAGAAGGUGUUCGGAUCGUAAAACUCUGUUGUUAGAGAAGAAUAAGUGCUAGAGUAACUGUUAGCGCCUUGACGGUAUCUAACCAGAAAGCCACGGCUAACUACGUG
rnacentral:rRNA from 1 species